GGAAUAUUGCACAAUGGGCGAAAGCCUGAUGCAGCGACGCCGCGUGAGUGAAGAAGUAUUUCGGUAUGUAAAGCUCUAUCAGCAGGGAAGAUAAUGACGGUACCUGACUAAGAAGCCCCGGCUAACUACGUGCCAGCAGCCGCGGUAAUACGUAGGGGGCAAGCGUUAUCCGGAUUUACUGGGUGUAAAGGGGGCGUAGACGGCAGCGCAAGUCUGGAGUAAAAUGCCGGGGCUCAACCCCGGAACUGCUUUGGAAACUGUGCAGCUAGAGUGCGGGAGAGGUAAGCGGAAUUCCUAGUGUAGCGGUGAAAUGCGUAGAUAUUAGGAGGAACACCAGUGGCGAAGGCGGCUUGCUGGACCGUAACUGACGUUGAGGCUCGAAAGCGUGGGGAGCAA
rnacentral:rRNA from 1 species